rnacentral:ncRNA from 1 species
UACGGUUUUUAUAAAAAUUAAAAGGGAAUUCGGUGAGAAUCCGAAGCAACCGCCAUUACUGUAUUUGGGUUUGUUUUUGGCUUUUAACCAAGGGUUUUAAGUUAAAAAUACAAAAAGCAUAAUGUCAUUGGAAAUUUUCCGAGAAGGCGCUUUUUUGAGAUUUUUGUUAUUUAAGGUUUUUGUUUUAUAAAAAUUUAAUUUUUUGAAUUUUUCGGUUUUAAAAUUAUAUUAUGUUUUGUAUAGCUUUUUUAAUAUAGUUUAAAACAGUUGAAUUUUUUAAACGUAAAACAAGAAUUUUAUUAUACGGAGUUUUGGUAUGUUGAAAAACAAAAAUCACCCCAUAAGUCAGGAGACCUGCCGCAUUUU